rnacentral:rRNA from 1 species
GACGAACGCUGGCGGCGUGCUUAACACAUGCAAGUCGAACGGAAAGGUCCUGCUUUUGUGGGGUGCUCGAGUGGCGAACGGGUGAGUAACACGCGAGUAACCUGCCCUUGACUUUGGGAUAACUUCAGGAAACUGGGGCUAAUACCGGAUAGGAGCUCCUGCUGCAUGGUGGGGGUUGGAAAGUUUCGGCGGUUGGGGAUGGACUCGCGGCUUAUCCGCUUGUUGGUGGGGUAGUGGCUUGCCAAGGCUUUGACGGGUAGCCGGCCUGAGAGGGUGACCGGGCACAAUGGGACUGAGAGACGGCCCAGACUCCUACGGGAGGCAGCAGGGGGGAAUCUUGCACAAUGGGCGGGAGCCUGAGGCAGCAACGCCGCGUGCGGGAUGACGUCCUUCUGGUUGUAAACCGCUGUCGCCUGUGACGAAGCGUUAUUGACGGUAAUUGGUAAAGAAGCACCGGCUAACUACGUG